rnacentral:rRNA from 1 species
UACGGAGGGGGCUAGCGUUGUUCGGAAUUACUGGGCGUAAAGCGCACGUAGGCGGCUUUGUAGGUUAGAGGUGAAAGCCCGGGGCUCAACUCCGGAAUUGCCUUUAAGACUGCAUCGCUAGAAUUGUGGAGAGGUAAGUGGAAUUCCGAGUGUAGAGGUGAAAUUCGUAGAUAUUCGGAAGAACACCAGUGGCGAAGGCGACUUACUGGACACAUAUUGACGCUGAGGCGCGACAGCGUGGGGAGCAAACAGG